rnacentral:misc_RNA from 1 species
GAAAUGCGAUAAGUAGUGUGAAUUGCAGAAUUCAGUGAAUCAUCGAAUCUUUGAACGCACAUUGCGCCCCUUGGUAUUCCGGGGGGCAUGCCUGUUCAAGCGUCAUCUACACCCUCAAGCUCUGCUUGGUGUUGGGCGUCUGUCCCGCCUCGGCGCGCGGACUCGCCCCAAAUCCAUUGGCAGCGGUCCUUGCCUCCUCUCGCGCAGCACAUUGCGCUUCUCGAGGGGCUCCGGCCCGCGUCCAACAAGAAAACAUUACCGUCUUUGACCUCGGAUCAGGUAGGGAUACCCGCUGAACUUAAGC